GCUGGGCAUGGUGGCUCACGCCUGUAAUCCCAGUACUUUGGGAGGCCGAGGCGGGAGGAUCACCUGAGGUCAGGAGUUCAAGACCAGCCUGGCCAACAUGGUGAAACCCCGUCUCUA
rfam:Homo sapiens chromosome 3, GRCh38 reference primary assembly.